GGCGAAGACAAGGGAGAUCCGGCUACGUCCCUCCCCUAGGUCUCUGGAAGCUGAAGCCGCUGCAGCCAAGGCCUGGUUUCAUUCUGGCUGGGGGCUGAGGGCUGGAGUUGGACAGCCGGCCUCUCUGCGGUUCCCCCAUUAUGGCUUGGCAUCAGCAUCUAGAUUGCAGGAUUGAUGGAGCCAGAAACCUCCUGCAGGGGCCCCCAGAGGUUCUUGCAUCCAGUGUGGCAUCCAGACAGUGUGUGGUUAAUGAGUCCGAAGAAAGGACCAGCGUCGUGGAGGAGUCCGGCAGCCCUGCAGGAGCACCUGGAGCACCUGGCUGUGGAGGGGCUUCUGGAAGGAAGCACAGGAGCAGAGGAAGGAGAAGGAGUUCAAAUGCCCGUACCUCCCGGGAGUUCCCAUCGUGGCGCAGUGGAAACGAAUCCAACUAGGAACCAUAAAGUUGCAGGUUCAUCAUUUUCUGGGACCAGAGUCCAGUCUCCUGAAUUCUAGCUCUUCUUGGGAACAGCAGGUAGAAGGAGUGAAUCCUACAGGACUCCCAGGACAGCCCUUCUGCUCUUUCAGGGCAGUCACCUUGUCCACACCCCACCUUAUCAUCUUGGGGCUACACCUGCCAGGCCUCCUUACGCUGCCGCUUUAGAGUCCCCACACAACCUCAGCUCUGACAAGAAUUGAUUACGCUUCCGGUCUGAUGGCAGCGCCCCUGGUUUCCAGGGAGUUCCGAGUCUGGGAGAUAGUCUUCUGACAACCAAAACAAUGAAUAGCAAAAUUGCACGGGCAUUUGGGACUGUUGGAUGUCCAGCUGGCACACUUGCUGGUCUAGAAAUGUCCUCAGAGGUGAGUGGGUUUAGUCAAGCCGACCAGAGAGAAGAAUUUUUUAAUUCUAAAACAGCUGUCCUUAUAAAAUAAAAAUAAAUAAAAUAAAACA
rnacentral:lncRNA from 1 species